GCCGAGGUGGCGGAAUUGGUAGACGCGCUGGCUUGAGGGGCUAGUGGACGUAAAGUCCGUGCGGGUUCGAGUCCCGCCCUCGGCACCA
rnacentral:tRNA from 2 species